CACGCCGUAAACGAUGAUCACUCGCUGUUUGCGAUAUACAGUAAGCGGCCAAGCGAAAGCGAUAAGUGAUCCACCUGGGGAGUACGAUCGCAAGGUUGAAACUCAAAGGAAUUGACGGGGGCCCGCACAAGCGGAGGAACAUGUGGUUUAAUUCGAUGAUACGCGAGGAACCUUACCUGGGCUUAAAUGGGGAUUGACAGCAGCUGAAAGGUUGCCUUCUUCGGACAAUCUCCAAGGUGC
rnacentral:rRNA from 1 species